rnacentral:rRNA from 1 species
GACUAAGCCAUGCGAGUCUAUGGACUUCGGUCCAUGGCGGACGGCUCAGUAACACGUGGUUAACCUACCCUUAGGUGGGGGAUAACCUUGGGGAACUGAGGAUAAUACCCCAUAGGAAAAGAGGUUUGGAAUAAUCCUUUUCUGAAAGGACAUCCGCCUAAGGAUGGGACUGCGUCUGAUUAGGUAGUUGGUGGGGUAAUGGCCCACCAAGCCUACGAUCAGUACGGGCCUUGAGAGAGGGANCCCGGAGAUGGGGACUGAAACACGGCCCCAGGCCCUACGGGGCGCAGCAGGCGCGAAACCUCCACAAUGCACGAAAGUGCGAUGGGGGAAUCCCAAGUGCCUAUGUAAAACAUAGGCUUUUCCCAAGUUUAAACAACUUGGGGAAUAAGGGCUGGGCAAAUCCG